UACGUAGGGUGCAAGCGUUGUCCGGAAUUAUUGGGCGUAAAGAGCUCGUAGGCGGUCUGUCGCGUCGGAUGUGAAAAUCAGGGCUCAACCCUGGACCUGCAUUCGAUACGGGCAGACUAGAGUUCGGUAGGGGAGACUGGAAUCCUGGUGUAGCGGUGAAAUGCGCAGAUAUCAGGAGGAACACCGGUGGCGAAGGCGGGUCUCUGGGCCGUAACUGACGCUGAGGAGCGAAAGCAUGGGGAGCGAACAGG
rnacentral:rRNA from 1 species